CUACGGGCGGCUGCAGUAGGGAAUAUUGCGCAAUGGGCGAAAGCCUGACGCAGCAAUGCCGCGUGAGUGAGGAAGGUUUUCGGAUUGUAAAGCUCUGUCAGAUAGGAAAAAUGGCCAUGCAUCUAAUAGGUGUGUGGUUUGAUGGUACUAUCAGAGGAAGCACCGGCUAACUUCGGUGCCAGCAGCCGCGGUAAUACGAAGGGUGCAAGCGUUACUCGGAUUUAUUGGGCGUAAAGCGCACGUAGGCGGACUUAUAAGCCAGAUGUGAAAUCUCGGGGCUCAACCCCGAAAUAGCGUCUGGAACUGUAGGUCUUGAAUUGCGGAGAGGGAAGGGGAAUUUCUCAUGUAGGGGUAAAAUCCGUAGAGAUGAGAAGGAACACCAGAGGCGAAAGCGCCUUCCUGGACGUAUAUUGACGCUGAGGUGCGAAAGCGUGGGGAGCAAACAGGAUUAGAUACCCUCGUAGUC
rnacentral:rRNA from 1 species